rnacentral:rRNA from 1 species
AGUGAACGCUGGCGGUAGGCCUAACACAUGCAAGUCGAACGGCAGCACAGUAAGAGCUUGCUCUUACGGGUGGCGAGUGGCGGACGGGUGAGGAAUACAUCGGAAUCUACUUUUUCGUGGGGGAUAACGUAGGGAAACUUACGCUAAUACCGCAUACGACCUACGGGUGAAAGCAGGGGAUCUUCGGACCUUGCGCGAUUGAAUGAGCCGAUGUCGGAUUAGCUAGUUGGCGGGGUAAAGGCCCACCAAGGCGACGAUCCGUAGCUGGUCUGGGAGGAUGAUCAGCCACACUGGAACUGAGACAAGGUCCAGACUCCUACGGGAGGCAGCAGUGGGGAAUAUUGGACAAUGGGCGCAAGCCUGAUCCAGCCAUACCGCGUGGGUGAAGAAGGCCUUCGGGUUGUAAAGCCCUUUUGUUGGGAAAGAAAAGCAGCAGGUUAAUACCCCGCUGUUCUGACGGUACCCAAAGAAUAAGCACCGGCUAACUUCGUG